UGGGGAAUCUUGCGCAAUGGGCGAAAGCCUGACGCAGCAACGCCGCGUGGGGGAUGAAGGCUCUCGGGUUGUAAACCCCUUUCAGCAGGGGCGAAAUUGACGGUACCUGCAGAAGAAGCCCCGGCCAACUACGUGCCAGCAGCCGCGGUAAUACGUAGGGGGCGAGCGUUGUCCGGAUUCAUUGGGCGUAAAGAGCUCGUAGGCGGCUUGCUAAGUCGGGUGUGAAACCUCCAGGCUCAACCUGGAGUCGCCACCCGAUACUGGUAUGGCUUGAGUCCGGUAGGGGACCACGGAAUUCCUGGUGUAGCGGUGAAAUGCGCAGAUAUCAGGAGGAACACCGGUGGCGAAGGCGGUGGUCUGGGCCGGUACUGACGCUGAGGAGCGAAAGCGUGGGGAGCAAACAGGAUUAGAUACCCUGGUAGUCCACGCCGUAAACGUUGGGCACUAGGUGUGGGGCCUUAUCAACGGGUUCCGUGCCGUAGCUAACGCAUUAAGUGCCCCGCCUGGGGAGUACGGCCGCAAGGCUAA
rnacentral:rRNA from 1 species